AAAGUCGUAACAAGGUUUCCGUAGGUGAACCUGCGGAAGGAUCAUUAUUGAAUAAAUCUGGCGUUGGUUGUAGCUGGCUCUCCGGAGCAUGUGCACACCUCGUCACCUUUAUCUUUCCACCUGUGCACACACUGUAGUCCUGGAUACCCCUCGCUGCAAAGCGGAUGUGGGGCCUGCUGCUGCUUAACGGCUCAGCUUGCUCUGAAUUUCCAGGUCUAUGAUUUUUUCAUACACCCCAAACGAAUGUUAUAGAAUGUCAUAUCAUUGGGCCUUGUGCCUAUAAACCUUAUACAACUUUCAACAACGGAUCUCUUGGCUCUC
rnacentral:misc_RNA from 1 species